rnacentral:rRNA from 1 species
GCUGGCGGCGUGCCUAACACAUGCAAGUCGAACGAGAAAGCGGGCUUCGGCCCGUCAGUAAAGUGGCAGACGGGUGAGUAACACGUGGGUAACCUGCCCCGAGGUGGGGGAUAACCCUUCGAAAGGAGGGCUAAUACCGCAUAACAUCUCGAGAUCCUCGGCUCUCGAGAUCAAAGCUAGCCUCUACUUGUAAGCUAGCGCCGUGGGAGGGGCUCGCGGCCCAUUAGCUUGUUGGUGAGGUAACGGCUCACCAAGGCUACGAUGGGUAGCCGGCCUGAGAGGGUGAUCGGCCACACUGGAACUGA